UACGUAGGGGGGCAAGCGUUGUCCGGAUUUAUUGGGCGUAAAGAGCUCGUAGGUGGUUCGGUAAGUCGGAUGUGAAAUCUCCAGGCUCAACCUGGAGGGGUCAUUCGAUACUGCCGUGACUAGAGGUCGGUAGGGGAGUGUGGAAUUCCUGGUGGAGCGGUGAAAUGCGCAGAUAUCGGGAGGAACACCAAUGGCGAAGGCAGCUCGCUGGGACGGUACUGACGCUGAGGCGCGAAAGCUAGGGGAGCAAACAGG
rnacentral:rRNA from 1 species